rnacentral:rRNA from 1 species
UACGGAGGGAGCUAGCGUUAUUCGGAAUUACUGGGCGUAAAGCGCACGUAGGCGGCUUUGUAAGUUAGAGGUGAAAGCCUGGAGCUCAACUCCAGAAUUGCCUUUAAGACUGCAUCGCUUGAAUCCAGGAGAGGUGAGUGGAAUUCCGAGUGUAGAGGUGAAAUUCGUAGAUAUUCGGAAGAACACCAGUGGCGAAGGCGGCUCACUGGCCCGUUACUGACGCUGAGGCACGAAAGCGUGGGGGAGCAAACAGG